UACAUCCCAGCUGAUCUAGCCUACAUCCCAGCUGAUCUAGCCUACAUCCCAGAUGAUCAGCUGAUCUAGCCUACAUCACAAGAAAAUGGCUACAUAAAAAAAAGGUGAAUUUGGCUAUAGAAGCAGUAGAAAUGGAAUGAGGUUUAAUUUUUGGGAAUGCUGUUGAAUGGAAUGAGGUUUAAUUUUUGGGAAUGCUGUUGAAUGGAAUGAGGUUUAAUUUUUGGGAAUGCUGUUGAAUGGAAUGAGGUUUAAUUUUGGGGAAUGCUGUUGAAUGGAAUGAGGUUUAAUUUUUGGGAAUGCUGUUGAAUGGAAUGAGGUUUAAUUUUUGGGAAUGCUGUUGAAUGGAAUGAGGUUUAAUUUUUGGGAAUGCUGUUGAAUGGAAUGAGGUUUAAUUUUUGGGAAUGCUGUUGAAUGGAAUGAGGUUUAAUUUUUGGGAAUGCUGUUGAAUGGAAUGAGGUUUAAUUUUUGGGAAUGCUGUUGAAUGGAAUGAGGUUUAAUUUUUGGGAAUGCUGUUGAAUGGAAUGAGGUUUAAUUUUUGGGAAUGCUGUUGAAUGGAAUGAGGUUUAAUUUUUGGGAAUGCUGUUGAAUGGAAUGAGGUUUAAUUUUUGGGAAUGCUGUUGAAUGGAAUGAGGUUUAAUUUUUGGGAAUGCUGUUGAAUGGAAUGAGGUUUAAUUUUUGGGAAUGCUGUUGAAUGGAAUGAGGUUUAAUUUUUGGGAAUGCUGUUGAAUGGAAUGAGGUUUAAUUUUUGGGAAUGCUGUUGAAUGGAAUGAGGUUUAAUUUUUGGGAAUGCUGUUGAAUGGAAUGAGGUUUAAUUUUUGGGAAUGCUGUUGAAUGGAAUGAGGUUUAAUUUUUGGGAAUGCUGUUGAAUGGA